rnacentral:rRNA from 1 species
CCUACGGGAUGCACCAGUGGGGAAUAUCGGACAAUGGGCGAAAGCCUGAUCCAGCAAUGCCGCGUGUGUGAAGAAGGUCUUCGGAUUGUAAAGCACUUUCGACGGGGACGAUGAUGACGGUACCCGUAGAGGAAGCCCCGGCUAACUUCGUGCCAGCAGCCGCGGUAAUACGAAGGGGGCUAGCGUUGCUCGGAAUGACUGGGCGUAAAGGGCGCGUAGGCGGUUUAUGCAGUCAGAUGUGAAAUCCCCGGGCUUAACCUGGGAACUGCAUUUGAGACGCAUAGACUAGAGGUCGAGAGAGGGUUGUGGAAUUCCCAGUGUAGAGGUGAAAUUCGUAGAUAUUGGGAAGAACACCGGUGGCGAAGGCGGCAACCUGGCCCGAUACUGACGCCGAGGCGCGAAAGCGUGGGGAGCAAACAGGAUUAGAUACCCUGGUAGUC